ACUAUUUUUCAUUUCAGUUGUCAGAUUGAUACCAGCGAACGGGGAUGGGGGCGGCGUUACUUCCCGUUUCUAGUUGUGUGGGGGUUCCGUCUCUCUGACUUCCCUUUUGCCUGUUUGUGUUCAUCUUCUUUUCCAUUAGAGGUUGGUAUUGAAUAGAGUUCCCGUGCUGCACAGGAGAAACUUGCUGUUCAUCUAUUUCUGUUUACUGGUUUUGUUUCUCUGCUUUUCUGCUCCACUGGCUGGUCUCCAGUAACCAAAAGGAGACAGACGUGGGUGUGAUUUCCGUGGAGAGACACACGUAUGCAUGUGAUGCAGACAGAGACGACUUGCAGGGAGGCGCUGGCUCCCCGGAGACCGGGAGCCCAUGACCUGCAGGUGAGGGGCGCCGGAGGCUUCACUCCAGCCUGAGUCCAUCGGAGGGAGUUCGUCUGAGUCCGACAGCACGUCACGGCUCUCCUGGUACUUCUCGAGGUCACGGCCGCAGGUGCUCGCUGACACGCACGCACGCUCGGGCACAGAAAUGCUCACAAGCAUCGGCUUCCUUGGCAGGUUUCACCUUCAGCUUCCGGCGGUUAGCUCAGUGGUGACGAGCGUGGCCCCUGAGUCCAAUCGCUCCGUUCCCUGCCUCCGCCCCCGCCGGUUCCUGUCCGACUGUCUCUCUGUCCCCUGCUGAGAUACAGCACGUGUUAAAGGCUCUGAAAAUGCCUGGCAUGCAGUAAGAACCCCACACAUGUCUGCUUUGUUAUUACUGUCACUUUAUUGUAUAUCAUAAACAGCCAAGCAUCCAUCUUAUACACAGUGAAGCAUUAGAAUUUAGAAUUUUUUUAAUCCAAUCUGAAGACUAUUUUAAUAGGGUGAGUUAAAAUCCAUCCAAAUUGGAUUUCCACCAUCAAUAUUGGAGGGUUUAUACCUCUGUCUUUUUUUUUUUUUUACGUUUUCUGUUCUAAUUUUUUUUUAACUAUUUCAUCAUUUCCCCUUCCCUGACUUCAGCUGGAUUUAAUUUUCAUUCCAUUAUUUUCAUUUUAUUCAUUCCCUUUCUCUGUGGGGUGCUGUGUGCUUGUUGGUGGAAGGGCCAAGCUGUCGUUUCUGUUGAGAAACGCGGAGCAUGUUCGACAGGCAGCUGGUGUCUUUCCAUCCACCCUGGGCGCCCAGCACGUGCAGGAGACACAAAAAAAGUACAAGGCUCACCUCUCGCUCUAAGGCUGCUGUGUCAAGACGGGGCCCCGAUGGUCUGAACCAAGGAGCAACGUGGGGGCUCACAGGCUCACUCCGUCUGAGCCGGGAGUCUGCAGGGGCAGGGGGAGAGUUGGGGGGCUCUCAGGAGACGUUGCACAAGAGACGUGGGGUGACGGGGGCCAGUGUGCUGGCUGAGGUGGUGGGAAGUGGACGGGCGACAUGCACAUUCUGAAGACAGAGCCAAUAGGGGAAAAGCCAAAAUAUUUCCUCUCCCAGCGGCCGCUGAUUCAGACGAGGCUCAUCCAUGGAGUCUGAAGCCAGCGGUGAAAUGUGGCGAGAAACAGGACAUUACAGAGUCCUCAGGUAUCUUCUGAUGGGAUGUUUCUUAACUGCAAAAACAGGGGAAACCCGGCAGACACCACAUUCUCCAAGGGGCCCGCGCCAGCGUCACCAGCAACGAGACGGACAGACGGCGGGUGCUGUGGUGGUUGAAGCACCGAGGAGGACGCGCCGGCACUGUGCUGGGCCUCACCCACAGCGAGGCAACGUCCGGCAGACCCACGUUCAAGGCCUUCUGCGGAAUACCUGGCCUGUGCUCGGAAAGGAGAGGCAAAGUUAGCACCGCAACCCGGGAGCUGCUUCUGACUUUGAAGGACUGAAACUCGUUGGGGCACUGCUCCGGCUGGGUUAGUCGCCGCCCACGGGAGCUCGGAGGCUCCCCGGUGAGACUGUGAAACCGCAGGGACGGAGGACGGGCCGCCAGCGCCCUGGAGGCACGUGUGAAUGGAGGCCAAGCCGGGCGUGCACACGAUGGGGACCCCACCAGCUCCACACGCCCCUUCUGGAACACGCCCAGGGAAGGUGAGGCCCGCCCGCCCUGGCCUAGCUACAUAAAGACAUGGGGUUGUUUUCAUAAAGAAAGGAAAGAGGAGUCCUUUCCAAACAAAUGCCAGAUGGACUGAGACCGGGGCCGGGGUG